GUCAUUAUGCAAGAAGAAAAGGAGUGCUUGUGGCACCUUAGGGACUGGCCAAUUUAUUUGAGCAUAGGCUUUCGGAGAGAGCUGUAGCUCACGAAGGCUUAUGCUCAGGUGGAUUGGUUGGUCUCUGGGGUGCUACAAGUACCCCUUUUCUUUUUGCGAAUACAGACUAACACAGCUGUUAUCUGAAACCUGUCAUUAUGCAAGAGCUGCAGCAAGGGAAUU